GUUGAUGUAAAUGAUGAUGAUGAAGAGC
rnacentral:piRNA from 1 species